rnacentral:other from 1 species
AGUUCCCUGCCAUGCCCGUGAUGGGGUGAUAAGCAUUUUGAACCAACGCCAAAAUGUAAGGGAGCCUGACUUUGGAUGCGGCUGUAGGCUUCGCCGCGAAUUUUCGCGGAUCGGAGAAACAAAAACAUCCAAGAAGGCACCCACCUGGAAAUCGGGUUCAAAUAUCCACAUCCCACACGGCACGCGCGGGGUUUUU